CAAACUAAAUGCUUUAUAGCUUUAUUUAUUUACACUAAUGAGAUUAUUAUUAAAUUAAUAUAGUUUGA
rnacentral:tRNA from 1 species